AGCUUCGAGUUUGAAUUCUCUGGAGAGACUCUUCGCUCGAUCCCCUAGCCCGCCGCCAUUUUCAGAAUCUGGUCUCUGUGGAGCUUUAAGGUCAAGUUUUGCCUUGUUGCUUGAGAUCUGGACUACAGUAAAAGCGGCACGGAAUGGGUUGGCACGCACGGGAAACAAAGGGACGCUGGCAGCGUGUUGAGAGGGAGCGGAAGCCAGGAGGAAAGGAGGCACUGAGAAAACUCCCAAAGGCUGCAAGGGAAGACGCUGUUAUCUCUUUAAGUUCGGGGAGGGGGAGGGAUCCUGCAGGAGACAAAGGGACAGGGAAGCUGGCGGGAAGGGACACAUUCCCAAAACAAAGAUAAGAGUUUUGUAAGCUCCUCUGCAGUGUGAUAAGCCAUAGAUAGGUAUGGUUUCUGGCGGAGGCAGGGGGGGGUCAGGAAGUGGUCCCCAAGAUAAAAUCUGGUGUGGGGGUCUAGCCCAUGGGGCUACAAUCAGAUGAGGCAACGGACCGUGGUCUGUCAGGAUUAGAGUCGUCACACUGCAUCCCAGACCGAUGGGUUGGCUAUAUGGCUCCAAACUCUUAAUAAUUGGCCGUCACCAAUAUUAAGAGUGGACUUUGCGUGGGCCGAGUAACCACUCUGCCCUGAGAACUUAAAAAGCUCUAAAGCGAGGGUCUUUCAGUGUGGGCUGUCCAGAGUAGACAUUGGCUUGCCCAGAAAGGCCUUGGUUUGGGCUGUCUAAAAGACGUGAAAGGGUCACGAACCCACGCAAAGUGGGGAGAAAAUCCACAUGAACCUGGCUCAGUGGCUGUCUCUGGGGAGUUGCUCACCUGUGGUAAAUUGGUGGGUGUUGUUUGCGAACCAGCAGCCAAGCUUACAGUUCCUGAAUGUAGAAGUGAGGAAUUAAUGCAGGAUGCAGUCUGGUCGGUCCUCAACAGCAGGGGACUCAAAACUGGGAACCAGCCCCAGGAGUCUCUCGCCUGCUGUUCCCGGUCAGGGAACCAUCUGAUAGAACUGUGGAGGGAAGGAGGAGGAGGACCAGACCAGCGGCAGCUGAAAAGAUAAGAAGUAUGAAAUAUAAAUAACCUUUAUUUUGGGAAUGCGGGGAGAGACACCCCCGACCCCCUGGGAUGUGGCAUCUCCACCCUGGGGACGGCGAUCUCUCCGUGGAACAUGUGGAGUGAGGCACAUAAGUAGCUUAGGCUUGGGGUGGAACCCAAGGGGGCAUUAAGGAUGCACAGGUAGCCCAUUGGUCUUAGUUUGGCACCAGAAGCAAUUCCUAAGGGUGGGGGAGAUAGGAGCUCCUUGGCUUUACUGGCUACAGUAUCCAGCCUGGGCCAAAACCCUUUCAAAGAUAAAUUUAGAAAUCUGAUAACAGAACAAAUUUUAGAAUAAUGAGUUUGUGUUUUUGAAGAUACUAUUAAAAUAUGGAAAAAUAUUUGUAAAUUUUAUCUGUUGGUAAACUCUUUGCCAGAAGAUAGGCAGUGUUAGGUGAAUAAUUAUGGGUCUCUGGCUUUCAAUUUUUUUCUUGUAGAAUCUUUACUGUUAUUCAAAACAUUCAUCUUUACUUUCAGUAGUCUUAAUAAAACCGGUAGAAGAAAUAAGAAGGUUACAAUAUUGAGAACAACUAUAAGAGGCCUUUGUAGAGGAUCCAGUCCUUUUGUGUAGCUGUGUUCAUUCAUUCAAACCACAAGUGCCUCCUGCCUGUUACAUGUGAGGCCUUGUACUGUGCGCAGAAGCAGAACAAAUGAAGAGAUGCUAGCCAGUGUCCUUGAGCACAUCCAAAAUAGCAACAUCCUGCUGGAUCUGCUGAACCCCCCAGGCUAGAUUUAUUUACUGCUCACAUUAGUUGUGUCCUUGACCAUGAAUUAAUCAUGGCUUUGUUUCUUAAGAGAAGUGUAUAUGAAAGCCUUCUGCAUGCUUCUGGCCAGGGUGUUGUUUGCAUAAUGUAUCGACUGUGCAUAUUUAAGCACUUGAGUGAAUCAUUAAUACUCGGUAGAGUUACUGAAACGCAACCCCUGAGAGUAUCUUCUACUCGUAAUCCGAAUUCCUGCCAAUUUUUAAAGACUUUCCUGAAAGCAAAUGGUUGUUUUUUUUAAAUGUCUUUUAAAAUUCUUUUAGCCAUUGAACUCAUAGAAAUGAUUCUGUUAAACUUUCUAGCCCUAAAUGCAGUAAAACAUUUUUAAAAGAAAUGAUGCAAUAUCUAAAGGAGGAAAAAGUGAACCAGAGGACACCAAAAUGUGCUGGCCCAGUAUGUUAUUAAUCAGUAAAAAAAUUGAAUACAGUUGUUAUUAAAUGCAAUAACUAUAAGUACAAGGUAUUGUGGUAGUAAGCAUAAAAUGCAAUUAUAUACAGCAAAAUUUCCUAACUGAACUGAUUGGCAAAGUCAUUGCACCAAAUCUUGGUUUGUUUAUCUAUAAAAUGACUUUAUUUGCAAGAAGGAAGGAAGAAGGAAGGAAGGAAGGAAGGAAACAAGGAAGGAAUGAAAGAAGACUAUUAAUUUUCCUGGCUUCUCCUUUUAAAGCAGCUGGUACUUUUUAAGAGCAUUAAUAUUAGAUUUUAUUUUUGUUUACAGUCUAGAGCAGAGGUUAGCAACUCUGCCUUUUAGGACACAUCUGGCUUGCUACCUGAUUUUAUAGUUUUGUGAAACAUAGCCACACCCAUUUAUAAAUGUAUUGCUCAUACCUGUUAUUAUCCAAUAAAGUCAAAGUUAGUAGCUUCAGUGGAGGCUCAGUGCUGCAAAAAUUUAUCAUUUAACUUCAAUUUUUCUAAUUUUUAUUUUUCAUACCUGUUUUAUAGUGUAUCUCAGUUAAGUAUAGUAAAUAAAUAUAUGAUUUAUACUAAUAUUUAUGUCUUAUAGAAUGAAUUUUCUCAAUAUUUUACUAAUAUAAAGGAUAUGAUCAAAAAAUUUAGAUGCUCAUUAGUCAAGCAGUGUAUUUCAAAGUUCACAAAAUGAUAACCAAAAUCCAGCCUACAGAGACCACUUACAAUUUCACCAGUCACAAUCAGGGAACUUUGGGAAGAAAUCUUUAUAUUCAGUUGUUUGAAAAUGCACAUUCUCUAUUUAUGGUUUGGAACAGUACUGCUCAAAGUGUCUUCAUGAAGGUCUCGGUUUUGCCAUUGUUGUUAUCACUGCUCAUUUCCAAAUAAUCAUAUCCUAUAUUUUGUAAAUACAAUAAAAAUGAAUUGCCUGAAAAUUAAAAAUACUUUAUAUUUAUAAAUUAUUAUACUUAAUAGAGGUUAAAAUAUUCUGUAUCAAAUUAUCUUAAAGGUAUAUAAACAUUUAGUCUUAAUGAUCUCUAUGUCGUUCAAGAACACAAAUGUUUGUAGAUGAAGACUGGUUCACUACCAUACUUAGAGUAACGAAAAUAUACAACCUUAUGUUCACCCCAAGAAGUGUGUAAAUAUGCUCAUAGCAUGAUUGAUAAUAGCUGAAAACUAGAAAUUAGUCAACAGUAGCAAAGGCCAGACUCAAAUAUAUAUAACCUUUAUAUCUCCAUUAGCAUAAAACACUAAAAUAAUUGAUAUAUAACUAGUUUAUAUUGUGAUAUUAGAUAUAUGCUUUUUUCCUCUUGAGCUGAGAUAUUAGUGACAAACAAUGAGCAUGAUGAGGCCUUGUGAAAUGCUACAAAACUUCUUGUCCCUCAGUUUACCUGCUUACCUUGAACAUAUAUUCAUUCAGUUCAUAAAAUCUUAUUGAAUUGUACAUAUAUGUGGUUAUAGGGACUUGCCUGCAUGUAUUUAUAGUUAACAAAAGAGCUAAAAAGUAAACAUUUAAAAUAAUUAAGGCUAUUUUGAAGGCGCCUUAUUAAACAUAAAAAUUUAUAAAGUUGCACUAGUAAGUCAUAGAUGUGCAAAGCAGUAAAAAUCAGAACAGAGUACUCCAACAUACUAAUGUGUGAUAUAGUUACACAGUUACAACAUUUCUUUUUUUUUUUUUUUUUUUUUUUUUGGUACCAGUUGUGAUCGGUUGGGAUUGAACUCAGAACCUUGCACUUACAUGCCAGGCAGGUGCUUAUGCCACUGAGCUAAAUUCCUGGCCCCAACACAACAUUCCAAAUCAAUGCAGAAGAGAUGAGCUACUCAUUAAAUGAUACUGAAGGACUGAUUUUCCAUCAGGACAAAAAAUUGGUUCGUUUCUGCCUUGCUGCUUGCAGCCGCCAUGAACCGCAGCCCUGCCAUGCCGCAGUUCUGUCUUGGAGCCAACUGAGUAUGGACUGAAACCUCCAAAAACUGUAAGAAAUAAACCUUUCCUUUCCCAACUUUGGGCGUCAGGUAUUUUGUCUCGGCGACAAGUAAAACCUAACCUAUUAGACACUAAUACUACUAGAUUCCUUUUCCUAAGUAGGAUCCAUUAUCUCACUCUUCUCUCCUCCUUCUCUUCCACUGAUUAGUUUUUCAACUUUUACUUUUCUCUAUCUCCUGUUUUUUUUUUUUUUUUUAUUGGUUCCAGGGAUCAAACUCACAACCACACACUUGCAAGGCAGGCGCUUAUGCCACUGAGCUAAAUCCACAUCUCCUGUAUUUUAAUUAGUAAAAUGAUUAAGAUAUAUGAAACUUCUUGCUGUUCUACUUUUAAUGCAGAUAAAAUUGUUCCAUUUAGGAUAUUUACCACAGAUUAAUAUUUGGUUGUCUUAGUGUUUAUAGUGUAAUUACAGUGCCAUUUUCUAUGGGUAAAGAUGGGACAUGAUUGCUACUUAGGGUGUGUAGGCAUUUAGUUUGUCUUUGAUGCUAUUAUUGUUGCUGACAUUUUUUACUAUAGUCAAAAUUACAUAAUUUUUACAAUUAAUUAAUUUUCUCUGCCAACAUCUGGAUAGUUUUAUUCACUAACAAUACUGUGGUCUAUUCCUGGAGAACUCAGUACUAGGCAAAAUACACUGAAGCUGCCCCAUGCAAAUAAUUGGAGGUGGUGGGAUACAAGGAUAGAGCUAAAGGCCUGGAAUUAGCUAUAUCUAGAGUGCAUUACUGAAAAGCAGAUAUUAAUUAAUGAGGUCUUUGCAGUAAUAACAAAGCCUUCAACUAUAACCAACACAUAAUCCUCAGCACAAACAAGCAAGUAAGAAGUAAAAACAUAAGAAUGACAAGAUUAGAGAAAAAAAGGUUCCCUAAAUUUUCAAUUUCACAGAGCUCACCUACAGGGCAUAGUGGUGGAGGAAAAAAGUCCACAGCCCAAUUAUUGAAAAAUAUAAUCAAGAUGAUUUCAAAAAGGACCAAUAAUGUCUGAGUAUAAAUAAAAUAUAACUAAUCAGAUAACAGACAUUAAAAAAAUAAAGUCUAAGAUUUUAUCACUAAUAAAAAGCUAGCUGACCUAAACCAAAUGAAUGCCUAACAGAGAAAAGAAUUAGAGUUCAUCAAAAGGUAGCAAACAGAAAUUGGGAAGUUUAAAAAUUCUUUCCAAGAUCUGAGCAGCAGAAGUGACCAAGGAGAGGAAAGAAUGUCAGAACUAGAAGAUAGGGCAUGUAUGAGAGACUAAUUAAUAAGCGAUACUUAAAAUACACUAAGAGUAUAUGAAAAAUAAUCAUACAGGUGCUAGAUGACAAAAUAAAUCUAAUGUAAGAUUAAUUGUAAUUGGGGGAAAAUCAGAAGACAGUACACAUGGCAUUUAAAAACUUGUUUACUGAGAUAGAGGGAAAAGCUUUCCAAAUACAAGAAGAGAAUCUAACAUAUAAGUCAGUGAGACAUACAGAAAUAUACAUUUCCAAAAUUAGAGAAAAAAAAAAACUCUUCACAAUAGAUCAUCAUCAAAAUUUGAAAAUUCAAUACAAGAACAAAAUCUUAAGAUUAAGCUGUUAGAGAAAAGUAACAAAUCACUUCAAUAGAUAAACCCAUUAGAAUUACAGCAGAAUUUUCAACACAACCCUUAAAGACUAGUACUGCUUACAGUUUGGUUUUUAAAGUCCUAAAAAAAACCACAAAGCCCUUCUAACUUAAACUGAUAUAUCCUGGAAAACCAUCUUACAAAAUUGAUUGAGAAAUAAAGCAUUUUCAUGAUAAAGAGCACCUAAAGAAAUCCAUGACUAACAGACCAGGACUCUAAAAAAUUCUAAAGGAUAUCCUACAAAGAAACAAUAAAUUGAAAAAUCCUAAAAUGUUGAGUACAACUGAUAUACUGAGCAGUUUAAUAGAAGAGAAAAAAGAAAUUAGGAACAAGAAAAUAAAGCAAUGACACAAAUCAAUACCUUUCAGUAAUAACUCUUAAUUAAAUGGUCUCUAUGUUCCAAUCAAAAGACAGAAACUGGCAGAAAGAGUCAAGAAACAAACCUGGUUUUGCACUAUAUACAAGAAGCAAUUGAUUCAAAAGAAAUUCAUAGAAUAAAAAUCAAAGAAAAACAAUGUUUCAUGCAAUAGGAACCCCCAAAUAAGGAUUGUCUGUCCUGUUUUUCAGACAAAGUGAACUUCAAGCCAAAAACCUGAUCAGAAAAUGUAAAGAAAGUUGCUACAUAUUGGUUAAAGGACAAAUUCAACAAAGAGCGAUGAUAAUUAUUAGCAUAUAUGAUUGAAAAACAGCACAACCUACCUUAUAAAGCAAGUGAUAUUGGACAUAAAAGUUCAUAUAAGCAUAAACACAAUUAUAGUGGGGAAUAUCAGUGUCUCACUGCCAGAAAUAGACAGCUCAGGCAGACAAAAAUAAACAAAGACAUGUGAUAGAUAAAUAAGACAUUCUCAGUAAUGAGCCUAAUAGACAUCUCCAGAGUAUUCUAUCCAACCACACCAGUAUGCACAUUCUUCUCAGCAGAGUGUGGAACUCUAUCCAAAAUAGAUCACAUAUUAGCUAAUAAAACAUGCUUAAGUAAAUGCAAAAGAAUCAAAAUUAUAGCAUAUAUUGUAGCAAAUCAUAGCACAAUGAAACUAGAACUCAGUGAAAAAAACAAUCAUAGAAAUUAUGCAAAUGCAUGGAAAUUAAACAUUACACUCUUGAAUAAUCAAUGCGUAGAAGAAGAAAUUAAAGAAGAAAUAAAAUAAUUUCUACACUUAAGUACUAAUGCCAGUAAAACAUACCAGACCCAACAAAAGCUGCUUUAAAAAGAGAAUUUAUAGCUGUGAAUGACCACAUAUGAAAAGCAGGGAGCCCAAAUAAAUGGCCUAAUGAUGUACUUCCAAGGCCUAAAAAAGCAAGAACAGUGCGAAUACAAAGCUGGUGAAAGAAGAGAGAUUGUAAAGAUCAAAGCAUAAAUCAGUAAAAUGGAGACCAAAAAACAAACCAGAAAAUCAACAAGUGAAACAGGUGGUUCUUUGAACAAAAAUAAAAAUAUAGAAAUAGAAAAAUAUAGAAAAAUAAAAAUAUAGAAAUCCUCAGCCAAUUUUGCCAAAGAAAGGAAGCACCCAAGUCAGUGCAAUUAGAAAUCAAAAUGUGAAAUUAUACUGGACACUGCUGAAAUCCAAAACAUCAUUAACAACCAUUUUGAAAACCUAUUUACCAAUAAAUUGGAGAAUUCAGAAGAAAUGGAUAGAUUUCUAGAUAUAUAUGAAUUAUCAGAACUGAACUUAGAAGAUAUAAAAACCCCAAAUAAUCUGAUAAUAGGCAAUUAAAUAGAAGCAGUAAUAAAACACCUACCAACCAAGAAAAGCAUAGGAACGGAUGGAUUCACUGUAAAUUCUAUACGAACUUCAGGAAAGACUUAAUGUCAAUACUGCUCAAAUGUUUUAAUGAAAUUAGGAGUGAGAAAAUACUCCAAAAUUAUUCCUGGAAGUUACCAUUACUUAAUUUCAGAAGCAGAAAAAAGAUCCAACCACAGAAGAAAUCCUCAACAACAUACUGGCAAGCAGAGAACAACUCAUUAAAAAGAGCUUACAUCGUGACCAAGCAGGCUUCAUUUGAGGGAUGCAAGAAUGAUUCAAGAUACACCAACCAAUAAGUAACACAUCACAUAAACAGAAGGGUGAGAGUCAUAUGAUCAUCCCAAUAUAUGCAGAAAAAGUCUUUGAAGAACUCCUACAACCAUUCAUAAGAAAGAAACUUCAAACAAUAUGCAUAGAAGGACUUUAUCCUAGUAUCAUAAAAGCCUUUUAUGACAAACGUUCUGCCAACAUCAUAUUAUUCAACUUUUCUUCCAAAAUCAGGAACAAGUUCAGAAUGACUCCUAUUCAGCAUUGUACUGAAAACAUUAGCCAAAGCAACCAGACAAGAGGAAGAAACUAAAAAGUUACAUAUAUGAAAGAAAUCAAAUUAUAAUUAUUUGCAGAUUAUAUGAUCCUCUCCAUAGAAGAUCCAAAAAUUCCACCAAGAACACCUAGAAUUUAUAAUCAAAUUCACCAAUGUAGUAAAAAUAGAAAAUCAACACGAAAAAUCAAUAAUGUUCUUGUAUGCAAAAAAUGAACUCACUGCGAAAGAAAUUAGGAAAAUAAUACUGUUCCCAAUAGUAUCAAGGCAAAUUAAAUACUUAGGAGUUAAUAUAGGGAAGUGAAAGACAUCUACAGUGGAAAAACAGAAGUCUGGAAAAGGGGAUUGAAGAGGACAUUAGAAAAUGCUCUGUUGUUAAAUAGGCAGAACAAGUGAAGUCAACUUGGUCACAGUUUCAAAACUGAUACACAUAUUUAAUGCAACCCCAAUCACAAUAUCAAAAGUAUUCUUCAAAGAACUAGAGAAAAUCCUAAUUUAUUCUAAAAUUCAUGUAGAAACUGAAGAGACCCAGGUUAGCAAAAGUAAUCUUGGGUAAGAAGAACAGCACGGGAACUAUCACAAUCCUGGGCUUAAAACUAUAUUACAAAGCUACAGUGAUGAAAACAGUAUAGUAAUGGCACAAAAACAGAUCUGUCGAUUAGUGGAGCAGAAUAGAGGAUGCAUUAAUAGCCUCAGCCACAUUUAGUUCUUUGACAUUUCACAAGGGUUCUGAAAGCAUACAUUGGAGGAAAGAUAACUUCUUUCAUAAAAGGUGAUAAAUUAACAAUCUACAUGUAGAAUAAGUAUUCUAGACCCAUAUCUCUCAUCAUGCACUAAACUAAAGUCAAAAUGUAUCAAAGCUCUGAAUGUUAAGAAGAAACUAAUCUCCUGGAAGAAUAAAUAAGUACAAUGCUCAAAGACAUAGGCAAGGACUUUCAGAACACAACCCCAAUGGCACAAGAAAUAAUACCAAGAGUCAACAUAUGGGAUCAUACCAAAUUAAAAAUCUACCCAGUAAAAGGAACAAUCAACACAAUGAAGAGACAACUUACAAACUGGGAAAACAUUUGCCAGCUGUUCCUCAGGGAGAGGACUAAUAUCUAGAAUAUUUAAAGAACUCAAAAAUAUUAGAUACAUCAAAAUAAAAGUUCCAAUUAAAAGUCAGGCAACUAAAAUGAAUACACAUUUUUUCAAUAGAACAAGUAAAAAUGUACAUUAAAUACAUGAGAAAUAUUCAACAUUGCUGGUCAUUUGAUAAAUGCAAAUUAAAACAACACUGGGAGUCUAUCUUACUCUAGAAAGAAUGGUUAGCAUCAAGAUAUCAAAUAACAAACUCUGGCAAGCCUGCAGGAAAAGAACAUUGUUGGUGAGAUGUAAAACAUUGAAACCAUUAUGGAAAUCAGUAUGAAGACUCUUCAAAACUUAAAAAUAGAAAUUACAUUUGGUGCAGUGAUGCUUCUUUUCCAUAUAUUUCCAAAAGAGUCAAAGACAUCAUAUUAUGGUAACGUAGAACAGUUCCUAAUAACUAAAUCUUGGAACUGACUUAAUGGGUAAAUGAAUAAUGAAAAUGCACUAUGUGUACACAAUAGCAUAAUACUCUGCCAUAGAGAAAGAAAAACAACCAAUUUGCAGGAAAAUUACUGCACUUUUAAGUACAAUAUUAAGUGAAAUAUAUCAGAAGCUUAAAUUUCUCAAGGUUUUUUUUUCAUAUGAGAAACCCAAAAUAUAAAUAAAGAGGAAAAUAAAAAGUAAAUAGAGAGUAGAGAGAGAUUUUGUUCAAAUGGAAAGGGGAUAAAGAUGUGGGAGAAGAAAAGAGAAUUAAGAUGUAUUAUUUACAGGUAGCAAUUCCCCACAAGAAAUAUAAUUGUUGCGGCUGGGGAUUUAGCUCAGCGGCAUAAACGCCUGCCUUGCAACACUCUGCACUUUGUAAAUUAAUUAGACUGCUCUUCAGUUUUGUUUUUAAGACGUAAUCAUUUGUGGGUGUUUAUGGCAGCCCUUAUCUCCUUUCUAGAGGUUUCACUUCAGUGCUUUUAAAAGUGAAACUGGCUGGGAAGAGGGCACAUUCGCUGUUCACCAUUUAUCCAACCUAAGGAGAUCACAUAUACAAUGACUGGGAGAUACUCUUUUGUGAUCAGAGCAGAGCAUUAGUUCUAGUAACUCUCUCUUACAUUAGUCAUCUCUUGUUAUGCCAUGCAGAGGAACCAUUCUGAGGAUGUCAGUCAUUUCUGGAGCCUCAGCUAUUCAUCAAGUGAAUUUGAAUAAUUUCUUAAAUAAAUCACCAAAGUAUUACACACUUUAUUUGGCAAGAAUGAAAUUCUAGUGCAACUCAUUAGAAAUAUCCUACAUGAUUCAUCUAAUGCACCCUGCUGUUUGAACCAUCCCUUUCAAGUUUUGUUAAUUUUUGUCUUUUCUUGGUCUUUGAUGAGUUGUUUCCUCAUUUAGUUCCACACUAGGAAACACAAAUGUAUCUGUAUCAUUGAAGCAGUUAAUUUCCAGAAUGGAACUUCUCCAAACACAGGACACCGAAUUAUCCAGAAGGGUGAAAGAUGGCAGAAAAACAGAACAAUAGAGGUCCUGAGGUGCUCUCUGGGGAGGUUACAAAUAUGAAAAAUAAAACCAUUGUCUCCUUCAGAUUUCAGAGAUGUAGGAGCUUUAACUGCCUUUUGUGAAGUUCUUCUGUACAUAUAUAUGAAUAAUUUCUGCUUUCUUCUUAAAUAAAACAUCAGAAUUACAUAUGGUCUGGCAGUAUCAACAGAAUAGGGACCCUUGGGUUAAGCAGAUCCAGUUAUAUGUUCAGAUCUUCUCAAGGCAGUGUUACCUCUCUGAGUAUUAAUCUCCUAAUCUUUGACAUAGAAUAAUGAUGAAUUAAUGUUACUAUGAAUAUUAUGUAUGAUUUCAUAUAUAAAUAUUACACACACAUACAUAUAUGUAUUUAUAUGUAUAUAUGUGGGAGCUGUAGCAUAAUAGACUUGCAACAAUACUGAUGACCUCUGCUGAUACCAGUAUUUUAAAUAGAAACAUAUUAUGAAAAUAUUACUGCAGUGAACCUGAAAACUAUUUAAAUUUUGGGAAACAUACUAUAAGAGUAUAUGACUUUUACUUGUAUAAUUUAGAGAACCAUGGUUAUAAUGAAUGAAUACAGUAUGUAUGGCUCUUGUUACUUAGCAGUAUGUGUUUAGACAUUGAUGCAUAUAUUGCAAGCAGUGGUGAUUCACAGAAUGUUUCUUGGCAGGUGUAUUUUAGGUAUUCUCAGUGAUCUAGUUUCCUAACUGAUAAAGCUUAUUAAAUGUAUUGCUUAUUGCCUUUAUCAUGUAUCUGUCAGUUAAGAAAAAUAACUUCCACUUGAGAAAAAAGGUGGAAAGAUAUAGGGGACCAUCUUCCCCUCGUUUCUUUCUUUUCACAAUUUUUAUUUAUCAUGGCACAACUGUUUCUUCAUAAUGCCAUGACGUUAAACCCUACUUUGCUAAAAAUACCAUGAGGAUGGGCAGAAUGUACAUGUAGCCUGAGUACAGCGGGGUUCCCAGUACUCCCCACACUUCCCACUGCGCGCACACAUUCCAGGCACAGACUGUAGCAUUUAGGAACCUGGUUGCCGGCUCUGUUGAGCCACAUGCAAGCCAGGGAAGCAGCAUGUGCAUUUACAUCUGCUUCCACCCUUCACAUUACUGCCUGAGCUCUGCUGCCUGCUGGAUCAGCAGGGGCACUAGGUUCACACAGGAGUGUGAAUCUUACAAUAAACUGUACUUGUGUACUAGAACCUAGAGGGUUCUAGGCUGUGUGUUCCUGUGAGCAUCUAACGCCUAAAAAUCUGAGGUGUCAGUGAUGCAAGCUCUGUGGAAUGUAAUUAUUAUGCAUGGCAAACGCAUACAAAGAAAAAAGGCAACUAAAAAAGAAAAACAGAGAGAGAGAGAGAGAGAGAG